rnacentral:lncRNA from 1 species
AUAGACUUAAUAAAUGGAUUGAAUUUGUAUAUUUGGAUCAAGAUAAACCAGGUAUAGGUUUAGAUCAGGGUAAAGCUAAAGCUUCGGAUUAGUCGACUUUGUUUCUACGCCUUAAUCGUCGAGGUAAGUUCGUAUGAUUAUAUAUCAUUUAAUGCUAUGUUUUGAUCUAUAUGUUAAUAUGUUGAUUGCUAUGUAACUGAAUAAUGUAAAUCCAACGAUUUUAUGAUGACAUCAAGCCCUAUUUGAACCUUAGAAAUUCA